UACAGAGGGUGCAAACGUUGCUCGGAAUGAUUGGGCGUAAAGCGCGUGUAGGUGGUUUAGAAAGCCGGGUGUGAAAGCCCGCAGCUCAACUGCGGAAGUGCAUUCGGAACUCCUAGACUAGAGUACCAAAGAGGAUGGCGGAAUGCCCAGUGUAGAGGUGAAAUUCGUAGAUAUUGGGUAGAACACCGGUGGCGAAGGCGGCCAUCUGGAGGGUAACUGACACUGAGACGCGAAAGCGUGGGGAGCAAACAGG
rnacentral:rRNA from 1 species